rnacentral:misc_RNA from 1 species
AAAUACAAAUUAUUCAAUUCAUGCUCACACUCUCACUCUCUUCUACCAUAAAUGGCUCCCUAUGGUUUGCUGCUUCACAUGCAUUCCAGGUAUUCUUCAACAGAAUUGGCUGAGGCAUAACAGCUUGCAUUGCUUUAGGUGUCUUCUACUCCUAGAACAUAUCAACCAGCCUUGAAUUCCUUUUCCUUUGCAUGCAACCCCAGCUAGACCCAAGUUCCAAUCAUGGUAAAAUUCCAAAUAAACACUAAAUGACAAGUAAACAAACAGUGGCAAUAUUGUUGGGAAAAUUUUGGUAUAGCUAGGGCUAGAUAUUUAUUCACUGGAUUACUUCUAAAUUUAGAAAAUUUCCCUCUUUUUUUUAUUAUCACAUCUAAAUUGCUGCCAGUUUCCAAAAGUGUCAUCAUCAAUCAGAAUGAAUUCUCUUGCUUUUAAUUAAUUGGUUUGUAAAUGUGUAGUCUUUUAUAGGAGUGUGCAGUUCCGAUUCGGUUUGGGGUCUGCUUAGGAACAGGAACCGAAUAAAAAUUUCAGUGUGGUUCCGAUUUGGUUCUUCGUUGUUUCAGUUCCGGUUCGGUUCUUGGUUUUUGAAAUAAUUUUAUGUAAUUAUUUAAUUAAAAAAAUCAUAUUUGAAUUAGCAUUUGAAUUUUGAAUCAGGU